rnacentral:rRNA from 1 species
GAUGAACGCUGGCGGCGUGCCUAAUACAUGCAAGUCGAGCGAACAGACGAGGAGCUUUCUCCUCUUCCGUUAGCGGCGCACGCGUGAGUAACACGUGGAUAACCUCCCUCUAAGACUGGGAUAACUUCGGGAAACCGGACUUAUUACCGCAUAAUCUAUUUAACCGCAUGGUUCAGUAGUGAAGGACGGUUUUGCUUUCAUUUAUGGAUGGAUCCGCGCCGCAUUAGCUAGUUGGUAAGGUAACGGCUUACCAAGGCAACGAUGCGUGGCCGACCUGAGAGGGUGAUCGGCAAAACUGGAACGGAGAAACGGUCCAGACUCCUACGGGAGGCAGCGGUAGGGAAUCUUCCGCAAUGAGCGAAAGCCUGACGGAGCAACGCCGCGUGAGGGAUGAAGGUCUUCGGAUCGUAAAACUCUGUUAUUAGGGAAGAACAAAUGCGUAAGUAACUAUGCACGUCUUGACGGUACCUAAUCAGAAAGCCACGGCUAACUACGUG